AGCUCAGUUGGUAGAGCGCUUGCCUUGCAUGCAUGAGGCCCUGGGUUCGAUUCCUCAG
rnacentral:tRNA from 1 species